UGUUCUUCGUAGCAUUUGUUGGAGCUAGAAGCAACUUCAGAGUUUUGUGGGGCUUCUUGGAACAAAUUUGAUUCGCAUAACUCUAGUAGUUGAGCAUUUAACGGGCUUGACAAUUGUUCCUGAAAAAGACAAAGAAAACAGAUUUUCUACGAUGGUUAGUCAUUCGUUGUAAAGGGCCAACUCAAGGUUUGGAUCAAGCUUAAAGCUUUAGUCCUUUUGUACUAAGCAAUAAAAAGAGGGGAACAAAAGGUUCUAGUCAAUUUGUGCUCCAUAUGGCUACAUGAAAGCUAAGUGGACCAACUUAAAACAAAAUUCUAUGGGGAAAAAGGAAAUUUUGAUCCCUCUUUUAAGUUA